rnacentral:lncRNA from 10 species
CCCUUCUGCAGCGGCUGGCUUCCAGACACCCUGCGUCCCUCCCUUGCUCGCAGCAGUUGCUGUGGCGGUCCUCCCGUGCACCCCCCCUUCUGCCCUCACUGCCCCUGGGGGUCCUCAUCACGGACCCCCUAACUCGGCAUCCUGGACACCACCACCCCGCACCUUUCCACAGUGCAGCUCUGCUCGUGCCUGUGAAGCCUCCCACAGCCUGGGAAGGAAAAUCCAGACUUGCCAGACCUUGCCUCAGCCAGGCCUUGGAAGCCUGCCAGCUUACCUAACCAGUAAGACCCUCAGCCCAUGGAGUCCUGUGUGAUGUUGUGAGCGUGGGAGGACAGACUGAACUGCUCGGCCCGUGGAGUCCUGUGUGAUGUUGUGAGCGGGGAGGACAGACUGAACUGCGUGGUGCUUCGCACAUAGACCUCAACAGGGAUUGGCAUUUUGAAGCUGUUGGCGGGGGCUGUGGACUGCUUUUCUUCCUUUCUAGCUCAACGGCAGCUAAAGCCACUGCAUACAAUGCAAGGACUGGCUCCUGUUUGGCCACGACUGAUUGCAGCCCCUGGUGAAAUGAGAACCCUGUGGGUCGGAACAAAGUUUGGAUUAUUUAUGUUGCAAGUAACUAAAAUCUCAAGUGAAACUGGUUUAAACAUUAUAUUUUUAUUAUUUAUUUAUUUAUAUUUAAUUCUUUUUUAGAGACAGGGUCUUCUUAGGUUGCCCAGGCUGGUCUUGAACUCCUGGCCUCAACGAUCUUCCCACUUCAGCCUCCUGCAUUGCUGGGAUUAUAGGUGUGAGCCACCAUGCCUGGCUUACACAGUAUAAAGGGAAUGCAUUGGCCCACACAGUGGAAAAAAAUAUCUAGUAGGAAUAGGAAGGACUUCAGGUGAGGUUUGAUCCAGCAGCUCAAAUGUUGUCACCACAGGCCUGGAUUCCUCUGGCCUUUCUCAAGGUCUCUUUCAUUUUCAUGCUCCACAAGAUGGCUUCUGCCAGGCUGACCUCCCUCCCCUGACCCCAGCAGCUCUGGACACCCCUCUCAGUGCCAUUUAUAUUGUUGCAUCAAUAGGCUCAUUUCUAUAUACUGCAAGGUUCAGAGAAGACAGAGUAUCUCUCUCAAGAGUUCUAACAUAAGUCUGGGGGUCCUGGCUCUCAUAGGCUUGAACAGGGCCACAUGUCCAUUCCUGAGCCAAUAUUUGUGACCAAGGGGAUGUGGUCAAUCUCAUCCAAACCUCACUUGAAGUGAGGGUGGGAGGAGGAGUGCUCUGCAAGGAGACUGUAGGUCUGGACCACCAAAAAGGUAGAUGGGUUGGUGGGAAAAGCCAGAUGCCUACUAUGGUAGUGGGCGGGGGGAGGGCACACUGGCAAGGUACAGCAAGAGGCAGGGGCAGUGCUGGACAGGCAGGGGCUCCUCCCUAGCACGACUGGAGAAAGGACUCCUGUGAAGCGGUCACCUCCAUGAGUCCCUCCUGUCCUGGCUUCCAACCACUCUGAAGUGGGGCUUUUGUCCACAGACCUGGCCUCUGCUGCCUACCCUCUUCUGUCCCCACCUGAUGGGGCCGCUUUCCUUCUGAAGCGGCUGCAUUUUGGGUUUCUCUCCACAGGAAGAGUUGGGGCUCACAGGCACACCCUCUCCCUAACUCUUCUCCCCCGGUUCAACCUGGAUCCAGGGAUCCACACUCUGCUCCGAGAGGCCAGCACGCAGCCACUGGAAAAUGAGCCAGUGGGAGAGGGCAGCUCCAUGUUUAUUGAUCAGCAGACUAUGUCUUUUUGUUUGAAACUUCUAAAUAAGAUUACAAAAAGAAAAAAAAUAGAAGCAUUGCGUAUUAACUGCAUUGGUUAACCAACAUUGGAACCCAAUACUCUUGUAUUAGGCCCGCAUUUACCUGAGUAAACUCAGUGGUUUUCUGUCCUAAGCAUGCUUGCCUGCUACAUCCCAUGGAGAAAAUAAACAGUGAAACACUUUCCUCAUCUUCAAGGCAAUUGUCUCAGGCAUCCUCCAGGCAUCAUGAAGGAGGGUGAGCGAGGGUGCGAGGUGGAAAGGUCCAGGCCGCGGCUGUGACUCCCGCGGGUGAACCACAGCUCCACAGCCCCAAAUCCAAAGAUGCUCUUGCUGCAGCACGACAAGUGUUCAAAAGAGAACCAGGCCCAGCCCGGAGAAAGGAAAGCCAAAAGCCAACUGAAUGAAUGACCCUCCCCCAGAAGAGCAACCCUGCCCCCAGGCCAUCCAAGUGCGAACAUUACCAGGUGCCAGCAGGGAAAGGACUCCGCUGCCUGACGCCUCUCCCACCUGAGAGCGCAGAGGUAGGGAGAUCACAGUGCCUGAGAGGUUUUCCUCCACGGAGAAAUCAGAGACCUCAACCUGCUGCCCUCUAAAGCAGCUUUCUGUAUCCAGACAAAACUUACAUAUGUACACGUUGUUUUAAAACGACAUACUCAUGUGACACACAUGUAUAUAAAUUCAUGUUUAUAUAUGACAAUUGAGGAGAGUUAAAGAACAAGAUAAUUCUGGAUGGAAAAAUCAGUUUGCCUGGGCAUCUGUAAACCUUUGGGCAAGUGAAUUCCCUCUUCUCUCUCAGUUCACCCUUUGGUGACCUCCACCGUGGCUGCAGACUUCAGGUGGUCCUCACGCAUUCACAGAACUGUCUGCUUAGGUUACAGCACUUUGGGAGGCCGAGGUGGGUAGAUCACGAGGUCAGGAGAUCGAGACCAUAUUGACCAACAUGGUAAAACCCCAUCUCUACUAAAAUACAAAAAUUAGCCGGGCGUGGUGGCGGGUGCCUGUAGUCCCAGCUACUUGGGAGGCUGAGGCAGGGGAAUCACUUGAACCUGGGAGGCGGAGGUUGCAGUGAACUGAGAUUGCGCCACUGCACUCCAGCCUGGGUGACAGAGACUUCCUCUCAAAAUAAAAAUAAAAAUAAUAAAAUAAUAAAUGGUUCUUUUCUAUGCGUCUAAUGAAUUUAAGUGCUUGUUAAGACUAAAAACCAUGUUAUGCAUUUCCUGCUCUUAAAACUAAAUUAUGUAGAAAGUAAGCUAGGGAGUGUA